AAUGAAGUUAUGAAUACCUAGUUUUGGUGAACUUUUCCAUUUAUGCCACGAGGAGGCACAAAAUCGUCGUGUCUCUNCAAUCCUCUUUGUCUUUCCAACACUCGACAUUUCCUGCACUUGAUGAUAGAGCAAGAGUUGUUCUAACCCUCAAUAACUUCGGCUAGGGUUUUCACCUCGUUUGGAGGCGUGAGCUGUCGAGCCGCGAGCGAUUGAAGCACGAGUGGUGGACCUCGACUAGGGUUUUCAUCUCGUAUGGAGCCCNGGCAAGGGUUUCGAAUGAAUCAACAAUCUUUCUUUGUCAUGGAGAAGGAAGAAGCAGGUGCGACUUAUUUUUCAGUUCUAAAGAGAUUUUCCAGUGAGUGAUACAACUCUUACAGUUCUAGGUUACGGGGAAGCACAUAAAUUUGUAAUGAAUUAGCGCUACAACUUGAGACACUGACGAAAACACCAACUGGAAUGGAGCAAAGAUGCCCAACUCGGAAAGCCACACGCACAGACGCGAGAGCCACCGAGAUUUAAGAUUACAAAAACUGAUCGAAGAAACAAAAACGCCUAAACACCUCGAGGGAGAAGCGCGAACCAGAAACGAAAACGAAAAUAUACUUUGAAGGAGAACCGCGAAAUGAAAUUAUUUUAACACGCUCAUAUUCUAAAAAACUGAUAUUUAUUCUCUGUUAAUAAAUAGAAAAGCGCUAUCUAUUNAGUUGGUAUAGAUAACGUUUUUUA
rnacentral:lncRNA from 1 species